AAAUGAAUAGACGGGGGCCCGCACAAGCAGUGGAGUAUGUGGUUUAAUUCGAAGCAACGCGAAGAACCUUACCAGGGCUUGACAUCCUCUGAACGGUGUAGAGAUACACUUUCCCUUCGGGGCAGAGAGACAGGUGGUGCAUGGUUGUCGUCAGCUCGUGUCGUGAGAUGUUCGGUUAAGUCCGGCAACGAGCGCAACCCCUAUUGUUAGUUGCCAUCAUUCAGUUGGGCACUCUAGCGAGACUGCCGUUGACAAAACGGAGGAAGGUGGGGACGACGUCAAAUCAUCAUGCCCCUUAUGUCCUGGGCUACACACGUACUACAAUGGUAACAACAGCGAGAAGCCAGACCGCGAGGUUGAGCGGAUCUUGAAAUGUUAUCUCAGUUCAGAUUGCAGGCUGCAACUCGCCUGCAUGAAGUAGGAAUUGCUAGUAAUGGCAGGUCAGCAUACUGCCGUGAAUACGUUCCCGGGCCUUGUACACACCGCCCGU
rnacentral:rRNA from 1 species